rnacentral:rRNA from 1 species
AGAGUUUGAUCCUGGCUCAGGACGAACGCUGGCGGCGUGCCUAAUACAUGCAAGUCGAGCGGAUCAAAGGGAGCUUGCUCCCUGAGAUCAGCGGCGGACGGGUGAGUAACACGUGGGUAACCUGCCUGUAAGACUGGGAUAACUCCGGGAAACCGGGGCUAAUACCGGAUAACUCAGUUCCUCGCAUGAGGAACUGUUGAAAGGUGGCUUUUCGCUACCACUUACAGAUGGACCCGCGGCGCAUUAGCUAGUUGGUGAGGUAACGGCUCACCAAGGCGACGAUGCGUAGCCGACCUGAGAGGGUGAUCGGCCACACUGGGACUGAGACACGGCCCAGACUCCUACGGGAGGCAGCAGUAGGGAAUCUUCCGCAAUGGACGAAAGUCUGACGGAGCAACGCCGCGUGAGUGAAGAAGGUUUUCGGAUCGUAAAACUCUGUUGUUAGGGAAGAACAAGUGCCGUUCGAAUAGGGCGGCGCCUUGACGGUACCUAACCAGAAAGCCACGGCUAACUACGUGCCAGCAGCCGCGGUAAUACGUAGGUGGCAAGCGUUGUCCGGAAUUAUUGGGCGUAAAGCGCGCGCAGGUGGUUUCUUAAGUCUGAUGUGAAAGCCCACGGCUCAACCGUGGAGGGUCAUUGGAAACUGGGGAACUUGAGUGCAGAAGAGGAAAGUGGAAUUCCAAGUGUAGCGGUGAAAUGCGUAGAUAUUUGGAGGAACACCAGUGGCGAAGGCGACUUUCUGGUCUGUAACUGACACUGAGGCGCGAAAGCGUGGGGAGCAAACAGGAUUAGAUACCCUGGUAGUCCACGCCGUAAACGAUGAGUGCUAAGUGUUAGAGGGUUUCCGCCCUUUAGUGCUGCAGCUAACGCAUUAAGCACUCCGCCUGGGGAGUACGGUCGCAAGACUGAAACUCAAGGGAAUUGACGGGGGCCCGCACAAGCGGUGGAGCAUGUGGGUUUAAUUCGAAGCAACGCGAAGAACCUUACCAGGUCUUGACAUCCUCUGACAACCCUAGAGAUAGGGCUUUCCCCUUCGGGGGACAGAGUGACAGGUGCUGCAUGCUUGUCGUCAGCUCGUGUCGUGAGAAUUGUUGGGUUAAGUCCCGCAAACGAGCGCAACCCUUGAUCUUAGUUGCCAGCCAUUCAG